UACGUAGGUGGCAAGCGUUGUCCGGAAUUAUUGGGCGUAAAGCGCGCGCAGGCGGUCCUUUAAGUCUGAUGUGAAAGCCCACGGCUCAACCGUGGAGGGUCAUUGGAAACUGGGGGACUUGAGUACAGAAGAGAAGAGUGGAAUUCCACGUGUAGCGGUGAAAUGCGUAGAGAUGUGGAGGAACACCAGUGGCGAAGGCGGCUACCUGGCCCACUCUUGACGCUGAGGCGCGAAAGCUAGGGGAGCAAGCGGG
rnacentral:rRNA from 1 species